UAAUGGGGCCAGGACGAUAGUCGACGUCUGAGUUGUCGGUCGGUCAGCGGUCUCCCUCCCUGGUUCAUUCGGGAAACCCUCACCGCCACCCUACCGGGGAGAAAAAACGAAACUUAUCGAGCUGAGCCUGGUGAUUGCGGCGGCGACCAUGGUUGGCCGUCGGCAACUGGCGGAUGGACGCUGCCGGUGUGGAGUUUCUGCAUGAUGCGGCCGACAGCGAACGGGGCUGGGAAUGUGAAGGCUGGUGAUUCAAAAGUUGGGUCUGGUAUGGCUCAGAAGAUUGGCGAAGAUGGCACUGCUCGAGCGCGAGAAGGUGCGCGGCGUCGAUGAGAUGCUUCUCCGACGAGGUCUGCUCAGUCUGCAGACAGAGUGAAUCCAGAGGCCCCUAGCUGGAAUAAGAGGCCUUGACUGGGCAGUGCGCCACUGGACCGGACGCCAUGCCCUUCCCCAAUGAGCGCUCUCGAGUAGUCAAUUCGCAAGUAUGCAGAGCAACCUGACAAGAGUGUGAUACAGCCUAAGCUAGGUCUCAGCUUUGAUUCAUUGGGAGGCGUAUGAUUUCUAUAAUCUGUAUUCUUAGGAGAUCGAUUUUGGAAUAAGGUAUGGUAAAGCAGACUAAAUGCUCACAGGACAAAAAGCAUGCAGAAAAUCGUUUGUAGUUGCUCGGGAAAAUUUUAAGCAGAAAACAGUAGGUCGUGCAGAUGCGAGUGCCCAGCUCUGAUCAGGCUUCUGCGUGCAUCGGACAACAGUUGGUACAUGACGUGAAGGCCACAACCAUUCCGUGUCGCUGAUCAUGGGAGAGAAAGUGCACUGGCCGUCUCAUAAACACAUCAAUGUUUACACAAAGGAUUUGAUAAGGCAGCUGAGGGAAAACAAUGUGAACCUGGGGAAGGUGUACAGCAUAAUUGGUAGUAGCUUCUUUGGAUCUGUUGAGAAGGUACCGUUCACAAAAAGAACUCUCAGGAAUAUAUGUGGGAAGUUUAGCCGUGAACAAGCCGAGGAUGAUGUGCUGAAGACGCUUGAGGUGUUUGCUGACAUCCAUUCCAGCAACCCUAGUUUCACCUAUGUGCUACUGGCCGGCAAGUCGAGCAAGGUGAAAAAUCUUAUGUGGGCUAACGGAAGCAGCCGAAUGCAGUACAUGUUCUUUGGCGAUGUGAUCAAAUUUGACACUACAUACAGGAGAAACUUGUAUGACAUGCCAUUUGGGUCAUUUGUGGGAGUUAACAAUCACUAUCAAAGCAUUAUCCUAGCAGGGGUGUUGAUGUGUGAUGAGCAAGAAGAGAGCUUCGAAUGGGUGUUUGCAUAAUUUUUGCGAAUGAUGGGCGGGCCUGCCCCAAAAACAAUACUCACAGACCAAUGUAAGGCAAUGGAGGUGGCGAUCAGCAAGGUUUAUCCUGGCACUGUCCACCGGUGGUGCAAGUGGAAUGUCCUGAAGAAGGCGAAGGAAAUCUUUGGUCUGCUUUACACAAAGAAGAGUAAUUUUCAGGCUGAAUUUCACAAGGUUGUGAACCACAUGUUAACUGAGGAAGAAUUUGAAGCAGCUUGGGGGUUGUUGUUGGAUACAAUCUGAGGAAUCACACAUACAUGACCCAAAUAUAUGAAACCAGGAAAAAAUGGGCAAAACCAUACUUUAAAGGUGUGUUUUGUGUGAAAAUGACAAGCACUCAACAUAGUGAGAGCGCAAACCACAUGCUGAAGACGUACAUGCCCCCUGCAAGCCCAAUGCUUGUUUUUGGGGAGUACAUGAGGUUAAAGUUUGACUGUGAGCGUGAUGAGAGCUACAAGGAGAAGAGGACCAUGAUUGCAAGUUCUUUAUUUCCUUUUUAAAUUCCUGCUGAUAACAUUUAUGAGUGCUUCGUUUAUGUCCUUCACAUAGGAAUAUUCCAAGUUGGCUGAUGCACAGAUAUGGCAUGGUGGUGCCCUGAGGCGGACUAACCUUACAAUAGAGCGGCAAGAGAUAAGUGGAGCAGGGUUGAGUACGAGGUGACCAUAAACAAAGACAAAUCAAUAUUCACUUGUCUGAUCACACUGGAUGCUAUGCAGCCAUAUCUUGAGGGUGAUGGAAAUUCUUCAUCAGGAGGAGAUCCCUAAGCACCAUAUCCUAAAGCGAUGGACGAGAGACGCAAGGGAUAUACUUCCACGACACCUGGUUCAGUACCAGAAGGACAAUUCAGUGAACUUAUCGUUCACGUGCAGGUCUCGAGGCUCUGCUACUGAAUGGAGCACCACUGGCAGAAAAGAGGGAUGGUCUGACUUUUGAGGAUCGCUCGUGGAAGGCGACGCUGACCAGUGCCAUAGUGCUGGGACAUUCUGUUAGUGUGAAUGCCCUGCAAGGUCUUGCAGGCCCGGACAAGCAUAGAGGUGCCGGAAGGCCGACAAACAACAGGGAGAAGGCCCCAUACAAAGGUCUAAGUAAACGAAACCAAAUUUUGCAGCAUUUGUCGUCGCGAAGGCCACAAAAGGACCACGUGCCCGGAGAGAGGGGAUGCAUCGAAAAAGCCACGAAAACCCAGGAAAUGCAAGAAUUGAGGGAUAGAAGGACAUCGACGAAAUACCUGCAAGCGGCCACUUGGUUUUGCCGAUAACUGAGCCAUAUGUUUUUCAGUCUGUAAUAUGUGUUGUCGUUCUAAACGGGGGGUUUUCUAGUGUGUUUCAGUUGAGCACUCAAACUCAAAGAGCAUGAAUUAUGUUUAUAGGGCCGUGUGUCAUGCUGUGUCUAAGAGCAUGAAUUAUGUUUAUGGUUGUCUGAACUUCGAUGAAUUAAUGGUCUUGCUUGUUGUUUCGCUGCAUCUCUCAGUUAAAUAAAUUACAAGCUUUGAGCACGCUGCAGAGGGGUCAUCCUUCUGCAGUAAGCACCCUGGAA